rnacentral:misc_RNA from 1 species
CUAGACGAUACCGACAACUGCAAGAGCCCAUCGAGCACAUAAGCCAUAAUGAGAUCAAGACAGCCACGACAAUCGUUCGUGUUAAGAGACAAAUGCAUAGCUUGGGCUAACAAAGGCAAAAGCCCUGCACCCAUGCGUGACAUUCAGCAUCCGAGAGAACAGGCAACAGCUCCGUGUGCCUUAACAACCCUGCAACAAGACAGAGCAUGCAAGGAGCACAUAGCAUGCCUAACGUCCACCACACACCCACAAAGGGCGUCAGGCGAAAAGGGGCCACAAUACAAACGAAUUCCUUUCAGUAG